AGUGAACGCUGGCGGUAGGCCUAACACAUGCAGGUCGAACGGCAGCACAGGAGAGCUUGCUCUCUGGGUGGCGAGUGGCGGACGGGUGAGGAAUACAUCGGAAUCUACCUUUUCGUGGGGGAUAACGUAGGGAAACUUACGCUAAUACCGCAUACGACCUACGGGUGAAAGUGGGGGACCGCAAGGCCUCACGCGAUUAGAUGAGCCGAUGUCCGAUUAGCUAGUUGGCGGGGUAAUGGCCCACCAAGGCGACGAUCGGUAGCUGGUCUGAGAGGAUGAUCAGCCACACUGGAACUGAGACACGGUCCAGACUCCUACGGGAGGCAGCAGUGGGGAAUAUUGGACAAUGGGCGCAAGCCUGAUCCAGCCAUACCGCGUGGGUGAAGAAGGCCUUCGGGUUGUAAAGCCCUUUUGUUGGGAAAGAAAUCCUGUCGAUUAAUACUCGGUGGGGAUGACGGUACCCAAAGAAUAAGCACCGGCUAACUUCGUG
rnacentral:rRNA from 1 species